ACAGGGUUAGGCUUAAUGGAAAGAACACUGAAUUGGGAGUUCAAAGGGUUUAGGUUCAAACCUUGAUUCUGUU
rnacentral:tRNA from 1 species